UUUUUUUUUCUUUUUCUUUUUCUUUUUUUUUUAAUACUUUUUGUUUUCCCUUUCCAAAAACCUUUUUUUCUUUUUUCUUCCUUCAAAACUAUCAGGACCUUCACUCUGACCUUAAACAUCUGCUUUUAGACACUCAGUUCCCUGACAGUGGCCUGUGUUUCCUUAAGGGCAGCCUUAAUUCAUCAUCAGGUGGGGAUUUUCCUAUUAGAGUUAGUUCCAGCACUUGCAAAAUGUUCUCCUGGAGCAGGAGGCUUAGGGCCCAGAGAGGUGUAUAUUUCUGCCAUCCUGGUUUUUGCUGGUUUGUUGUUGUUGUGCAUGUGUGCUUUUAAUGGAAGGUUGUGAUAAAACCUUCCUGCUGGUUUUUAGUGUUUAAGGCCUAAGACAAGGUUUUGAUGUGUAUCGCAGGAAUCACGAACUUCAAAGGCUUGUCAGCUCUAAGGUUACGGUUCACCUGCGCGGGGUCCUUGGUACUGUAAAUAUCUCCUGCAUGUUACUGUGACUUAGUGACCAUUUCUGGUAUACCCAUUUCUGGAAUAGCAUUAUCAAAAAUCUGCACGUGUUCCUGCGGUGUAUUCGGAUGCUCUUUGAAUAGUCAUGUUUUUAUCUUCAGUAGGGGGUAUUUUAAAGUAUGUCUAUUCCUAGUUUUAGUUAAUUAUCUUUUAAUGAAAGUGUCAGUCAUAUUCACAUCUGCAGUAUUAGGUUAAGAUAAUUAGAUUUUCAAAUGAGAAGCAAUCUUCUUAAAUCCCACACAGGAAAAUAUUUGUAGAAGAUUCCGAUUUAUAAUGACAUCUGUACAUUUUACCCUACUUUUCAUCAUAAUAGUGAGCCCCCCUCCCCUCAAGAAUGAAAUAUGUCUCGUAAAAUACAGCAGAUAAAAUAUUAAUAAAAUAUCAAUACUUGCAGGGAAACUGGAAGAUGAUGCAUGUAUAUGCAUAAAGCCUGGAUUGUGUGCAAAGAGACCCUUUCCUUGGGCUGAUAUUUACUUCAUUUUGAUAAGACUGUUUACAGUUGUUAUUGUAUAUUCUGUAAGGCUUUGCUUUUUACUUUGUUGGUAUCUCCAAGCAAUUACAUGGUGGUCAACAAAUAAAG
rnacentral:lncRNA from 1 species